GACAGAGGGUGCAAACGUUGUUCGGAUUUACUGGGCGUAAAGCGUGUGUAGGCGGCUUGGCAAGUUGGAUGUGAAAGCCCACGGCUCAACCGUGGAAGCGCAUCCAAAACUGCUUCGCUCGAGUCUCGGAGAGGAAGGUGGAAUGCUUGGUGUAGAGGUGAAAUUCGUAGAUAUCAAGCAGAACACCUGCGGCGAAGGCGGCCUUCUGGACGAUGACUGACGCUGAGACGCGAAAGCGUGGGGAGCGAACAGG
rnacentral:rRNA from 1 species